AGUGAACGCUGGCGGUAGGCCUAACACAUGCAAGUCGAACGGCAGCACAGUAAGAGCUUGCUCUUACGGGUGGCGAGUGGCGGACGGGUGGGGAAUACAUCGGAAUCUACUUUUUCGUGGGGGAUAACGUAGGGAAACUUACGCUAAUACCGCAUACGACCUACGGGUGAAAGCAGGGGAUCUUCGGACCUUGCGCGAUUGAAUGAGCCGAUGUCGGAUUAGCUAGUUGGCGGGGUAAAGGCCCACCAAGGCGACGAUCCGUAGCUGGUCUGAGGGGAUGAUCAGCCACACUGGAACUGAGACACGGUCCAGACUCCUACGGGAGGCAGCAGUGGGGAAUAUUGGACAAUGGGCGCAAGCCUGAUCCAGCCAUACCGCGUGGGUGAAGAAGGCCUUCGGGUUGUAAAGCCCUUUUGUUGGGAAAGAAAAGCAGCAGGUUAAUACCCCGCUGUUCUGACGGUACCCAAAGAAUAAGCACCGGCUAACUUCGUG
rnacentral:rRNA from 1 species